rnacentral:rRNA from 1 species
UAAGGAAUAUUGGUCAAUGGCCGCAAGUCUGAACCAGCCAUGCCGCGUGAAGGAAGAUGGCCCUACGGGUUGUAAACUUCUUUUGUACGGGAAAAAAUCUCCGGUCGUGAAUCGGAGCUGAUGGUACCGUAAGAAUAAGCAUCGGCUAACUCCGUGCCAGCAGCCGCGGUAAUACGGAGGAUGCAAGCGUUAUCCGGAUUCAUUGGGUUUAAAGGGUGCGCAGGCGGAAUGAUAAGUCAGCGGUGAAAUCCUACGGCUCAACUGUAGAACUGCCAUUGAUACUGUCGUUCUUGAGUACACUUGGAGUGGGCGGAAUGUGUCAUGUAGCGGUGAAAUGCUUAGAUAUGACACAGAACACCGAUCGCGAAGGCAGCUCACUAAAUUGUAACUGACGCUCAGGCACGAAAGCGUGGGGAUCAAACAG